UCGCUUCUCGGCCUUUUGGCUAAGAUCAAAGUGUAGUAUCUGUUCUUAUCAGCUUAAUUUGCCCACAUAAUUUAUUUUUAUUUUUAUAGUGGUGAAGAUGCUGAUGAACUAGACUCUUC
rnacentral:snRNA from 1 species